rnacentral:misc_RNA from 1 species
AAAGUCGUAACAAGGUUUUCGUAGGUGAACCUGCGGAAGGAUCAUUAGUGAAACAUAAGAGUGCUCUUUAUUGAGGCUCGUUUUAACUAUCCAUUACACUUUGUGCAUUUGAAAACCUUCAUCUCUCAAUUUUGAAGCCUUCGGGUUAUAAAAACGAGUUUUGAUUGUAACCAUACUAUAACCCCUUUGAAUAUAUUGACUUGAUGAUGAUGUAUAAACCUUGAAAUGAAAGAAACAACUUUCAGCAACGGAUUUCUUGGCUCUC